rnacentral:rRNA from 1 species
GUAGGUGGCAAGCGUUGUCCAGAAUUAUUGGGCGUAAAGCGCGCGCAGGCGGUUCUUUAAGUCUGAUGUGAAAGCCCACGGCUCAACCGUGGGGGGUCAUUGGAAACUGGAGAACUUGAGUACAGAAGAGGAAAGCGGAAUUCCACGUGUAGCGGUGAAAUGCGUAGAGAUGUGGAGGAACACCAGUGGCGAAGGCGGCUUUCUGGUCUGUAACUGACGCUGAGGCGCGAAAGCGUGGGGAGCAAACAGGGAUUAGAUACCCUGGUAGUCCACGCCGUAAACGAUGAGUGCUAAGUGUUAGGGGGUUUCCGCCCCCUUAGUGCUGCAGCUAACGCAUUAAGCACUCCGCCUGGGGAGUACGGCCGCAAGGCUG